GCAAGUCGAACGAACUCUGGUAUUGAUUGGUGCUUGCAUCAUGAUUUACAUUUGAGUGAGUGGCGAACUGGUGAGUAACACGUGGGAAACCUGCCCAGAAGCGGGGGAUAACACCUGGAAACAGAUGCUAAUACCGCAUAACAACUUGGACCGCAUGGUCCGAGCUUGAAAGAUGGCUUCGGCUAUCACUUUUGGAUGGUCCCGCGGCGUAUUAGCUAGAUGGUGGGGUAACGGCUCACCAUGGCAAUGAUACGUAGCCGACCUGAGAGGGUAAUCGGCCACAUUGGGACUGAGACACGGCCCAAACUCCUACGGGAGGCAGCAGUAGGGAAUCUUCCACAAUGGACGAAAGUCUGAUGGAGCAACGCCGCGUGAGUGAAGAAGGGUUUCGGCUCGUAAAACUCUGUUGUUAAAGAAGAACAUAUCUGAGAGUAACUGUUCAGGUAUUGACGGUAUUUAACCAGAAAGCCACGGCUAACUACGUGCCAGCAGCCGCGGUAAUACGUAGGUGGCAAGCGUUGUCCGGAUUUAUUGGGCGUAAAGCGAGCGCAGGCGGUUUUUUAAGUCUGAUGUGAAAGCCUUCGGCUCAACCGAAGAAGUGCAUCGGAAACUGGGAAACUUGAGUGCAGAAGAGGACAGUGGAACUCCAUGUGUAGCGGUGAAAUGCGUAGAUAUAUGGAAGAACACCAGUGGCGAAGGCGGCUGUCUGGUCUGUAACUGACGCUGAGGCUCGAAAGUAUGGGUAGCAAACAGGAUUAGAUACCCUGGUAGUCCAUACCGUAAACGAUGAAUGCUAAGUGUUGGAGGGUUUCCGCCCUUCAGUGCUGCAGCUAACGCAUUAAGCAUUCCGCCUGGGGAGUACGGCCGCAAGGCUGAAACUCAAAGGAAUUGACGGGGGCCCGCACAAGCGGUGGAGCAUGUGGUUUAAUUCGAAGCUACGCGAAGAACCUUACCAGGUCUUGACAUACUAUGCAAAUCUAAGAGAUUAGACGUUCCCUUCGGGGACAUGGAUACAGGUGGUGCAUGGUUGUCGUCAGCUCGUGUCGUGAGAUGUUGGGUUAAGUCCCGCAACGAGCGCAACCCUUAUUAUCAGUUGCCAGCAUUAAGUUGGGCACUCUGGUGAGACUGCCGGUGACAAACCGGAGGAAGGUGGGGAUGACGUCAAAUCAUCAUGCCCCUUAUGACCUGGGCU
rnacentral:rRNA from 1 species